GCGGGGCGGGGCGGGGGGGGGGGCAGGGCUGAGACGGGGGAGGUGUGCGCUGCGGCGGGUCGCGCGCCGUUCCUCAACCGCCGUCCUUCGGCGGUGUAGCUACGUCUUGCUGCUGCUAGCGGCCCCCGCCGGGCCCCUCGGAUGAGAGGGAGGCAGGUUGGGUGGCUAGUCACGGAGAAGAGGCAGCGGCGCUGUUUCUCCGACUCCGUUUGGUGGGGCUGAGGUCCCGCCGCUGGAGGAGAGCCGGGUCGUGGCGCGGCCUCCGGCCCUUGUACGGGCCUCUGCCGGCCGGAGCGGCUUGGUAGGCGUUUGGUAGGAGUCAGCGGGAUCGAUCAGACCUUUCAUAGGGCACCUGAACCGCGACUUCUUCCCCCCCGGUUUGCCGUGUGUGUUGGUUUAAGUUUCUGUACGGACACCGUUGAUUAUCUCCGUUUCAGCCUCAGUUUCUCCUUUUGGUUCCAAGGGACAGAGUAACGUUUACGUAGGUGUUGGAUGGGCGUUGUGCUGCUUCCAAAAAGUAGCUUUUGCCACCUGAAGGUUUCAUGCUCGUUUAACACUGCUGCUUUUUGAAUCCGCUUGCAGGAUUUCGUUCGGUUUGGCGGGAGGGAGCAGAGCUACCGCUGCCGGGGAGGGGAGUGCGGGCGCCGCCCGGAGGAGGCUGCGUGCAUGGGCGCCUUCUCCAGGCGGCCACCGCAGCACUGCUGAGAAAAACAAGCCGUGCUGAAACAGUUGAUGUUUGCCGGGGGGAGAAGGGGGGAAGGUCGCUGCCUAAGUUCUGGCAUCUCUUACAGCCGCUUGAAAGACUUCUCGAGGAGGAUAGGGAGGAGGUACAGCUUGAGGAGAGGCAUUUUCUUGAGUCACUUCUGAAACGUUUAGCACUGAUGCCAUACUGUACCAUAAUUAGGUAUCCCAGACACAAGCAGAACCCAGCUGGGCUCCAUGUGGUAUAAACAGAGCAAAGUUAUUUAACGCUCAAAAAGCUAACAGUGGGAUUUCUAGUCACUGAUUGGGCCUCCUUGAGAUGCAGCAAUACAAAUUAAGUAGAUACCUUUCUUCCAAAAGCUUAAUAAAUUGCUGGAGAAGAUAAAGCAUUUAAACUUUAUAUUUUAUAGUAACAUCAUAUGUUGAGGAGUAUUCAGGCAGUUCUUUAUACAUGCUUAAAUGGUCAGUGCUCAUUAUACGUAAAUCAAGGAGUUCUGCUUAGGUUCAGGGAUCCAUUUCCACUGAGCACCAUUGAACUGAACAUUUAUGUCUGUCUUUCUUAUCCAAUAUUCAUCAUAGAACAUGGAACUUAAGUCUCAUCCAGACUGUAAUGUUUUACUUCUAAGGUUUAGUAUUUAGUAUGCAAAAUUCUCCAAAAGAACAAAAGCAGAAGCUAUAGAUUAAACAAGGUCACGCUUCUUAGAUAUUUUAAAAAAUAGAGAUUUAAAUUACUUUGAUUAAUGAGAGAGUUGAACAAUUAGUUCCUCUGUCUUUGGACAGAAUUUUGAAUACUGAACAUUAGUCAUCAGUCAUGUGAGGAUUUAGACAAGCACUUAGCUUUAUGCAAUUGGAGUGAUUAGUUCUAUUCAAGUGAAUAGUACUGUGCAGAGCGUGCAAGAUUUAGCACAUCUCAAACCUCCAAUUGUGCGAAGCUUUAACACGUGACUUUUUUUUUUUUUUUUUAAGACUUGUUUCCUAAGGAACAGUGUUUAUGCAAUCAUACAUGUCUAUCAUCCACUGCUUCUCCAUCACUUGCGAGGAAGAGGGAAUGGUGGCUAACUUGGCUAGUUUCAGCUAGGUUUCACAGAAGAAUGGAGGCUUCAAAGUCUAAAUAUUUGGUGAAAAUAGGUGACUAGGUAUAAGAUAGAUCUUGUACUCGCAUAAUGAAAGUAGUUGUAGGAGAUGAAAUAUUAGCCAUCACAGAACCUAUAUUUAGAUGAGAAGAAAUACCUCCUAAAUAACCCAGUUAGACAAAAAGGUUCAGUGAAGACUCAAACCCAAAGAUGAUCAGUUAGUAACUGAGUUUUGUUACAUGUUCAGGGUGCUUUUAAAAGAAAAGAAAGCAAAUCUCAGUCAGUUCCUUUCGUGGGUAUUAUUUGAGAUCUGCCAGUGAAGACCUGUGUUUAAAUACUAAGUAUUUACUAAAUAGAGGCUUUUCCAGUGCUUGCUUAUAUAAAGCUUACUGUUUGUGUGCAUGCAUUCUUAGGACCUGCAGAACUCAUCCUCAUUCAGAUAUUAGUCUGCUGCACACAUCCACCUAGAACUAAAAACAUUCAUCCUAGAAGAACCAGUUUACAAAAUCAGUUGUGUGCCUAGCUAUAGGUACACAUACCUAUCUUUCUGUUUUCUGGUAGUAAAAUGGGAAGGUAGCCAUAUAUUGAUAGCAUAGCCUAGGAAAUAAGGUUAAAGACUUUGUGCUGUUUGUUUCUUUGGCUUUCUAGCUUGUACUGACAAACAAAGAAGGACUGGUUGGAGAUGUGAAGGUUGGGGGCAGCCUCGGCUGCCGUGACCGUGAGAUGGUGGAGUUUAGGAUCCUGCAGGGACGAAGCAGGGCAAUAAGUAGGAUCGCAACCCUGGACAUCAGGAGAGCAAACUUUGGCCUCUUCAGGGACCUACUUGGAGGAUUCCCAUGGAUUAGGGCCCUAGAAAGAAGGGGGGUCCAAGAGAGCUGGUUAAUUCAAGGUGAUUCAGUGGUGAUUCAAGGAUCACUUCCUCCAAGCUCAAGAUUGGUGCAUCCCUAGGAGUGAGAAGUCAAGCAAAGGGGGCAGGAGACCUGCAUGUAUGAGCAAGGAGCUCCUGGCAAAACUCAAAGAGAAGAAUGAAGAAUACAGAAUGUGGAAAAGCGGCAGGCCACUUGGGAGGAAUAUAGGAGCCUUGCCAGAGUAGGCAGGGAUGUGACGAAGAAUGCUAAGACCCAUUUGGAAUUAACUCUGGCAAGGGAUGUCAAGGACAAUAAGAAGGGCUUCUUCAAAUACGUUAGUAGCAAAAUGAAGACUAGGGAAAAUGUGAGCCAGCUGCUGAAUGGGGUGGGUGCCCUGGUGACAAAGGGUACAGAGAAGGCAGAGUUACUGAAUGCCUUCUUUGCCUCAGUCUCUAUUGCUCAGGCCAGCCCUCAGGAAUUCCAGACCCUGGAGACUAGAGAAAGUCUGGAGAAAGGAAGACUUUCCCUUGGUCAAGGAGGAUCGGGUUAGAGAUCAUUUAGGCAAACCUGACAUCCAUAAAUCCAUAGGCCCUGAUGAGGUGUACCCAUGAGUGCUGAGGGAACUGGCAAAUGUUAUUGCUGGGCCAUUCUCCAUCAUCUUUGAAAGGUCAUGGAGAACAGGAGAGGUGCCUGACGACUGAAAGAAAGCCAAUGUCACUCCAGUCUUCAAAAAGGGCAAGAAGGAGGACCCAGGAAACUACAGGCCCGUCAGCCUCACCUCCAUCCCUGGAAAGGUGAUGGAACAGCUCAUCCCGGAUGUCAUCUCUAAGCAUCUGGAGGAAAAGAAGGUGGUCAGGAAUAGUCAGCAUGGAUUCACCAAGCAGACCCCGUAUUCAUAUCCAAGUUACACAGUUUGGCAUUUAAAAUAGUGAGUGACUCGACUUUUUGGUGAAAUCAUGGUGUUGAUUCUCCACUUGGACUUUGUCAUCUUUUAUAAAUCAGAUUCACGUGAAGUUCAAAAGAUUGUAUUCAUCCAGGCAGCAGCUGAAGAGUUUUCUAAACUCAAUUAGUGCAAGAAUGCUGUGACCAAUGGAAAAAUGUUUGAUGCAUGCCAGAAAACAAAUCUUCCCAGCUCUUGGAAAUUUUGUUCUGAAAACAAAUAAGGAUCACACAAGAUUUUCAGAUUAAUAAAUAAUCUUUUCUGAGGAAA